UGUAUCACUGAUGAUAGUCUGGCUCCCUCUACUGAACACCCUGAGGAGACUGCCACUGUUACCCAAUUUCUGUCUGAGAUGUG